UGUUAAAAAUUUUAUCAAAUUGUACUAUUAAAAAUUACUGUGACUAACGAAAUAACCAUAUGGUGAUGUAUGUUGCGAAAUGUGUAUAAGAACCAGUCUUUAAUGGUAGAAAUGGAUAAAAUUUUUAACA
rfam:Gossypium arboreum cultivar AKA8401 contig_1403_3, whole genome shotgun sequence.